rnacentral:rRNA from 1 species
AUUGAACGCUGGCGGCGUGCUUAACACAUGCAAGUCGGACGAGUGGCGAACGGGUGAGUAACGCAUCGGAACGUACCUCGUUAUGGGGGAUAACUGUUCGAAAGGAUAGCUAAUACCGCAUACUAUCCGAUGUGCCGAUGUCGGAUUAGCUGGUUGGUGGGGUAAAGGCUCACCAAGGCGACGAUCAUUAGCGGGUCUGAGAGGAUGAUCCGCCACACUGGGACUGAGACACGGCCCAGACUCCUACGGGAGGCAGCAGUGGGGAAUUUUGGACAAUGGGCGCAAGCCUGAUCCAGCCAUGCCGCGUGUCUGAAGAAGGCCUUCGGGUUGUAAAGGACUUUUGUCAGGGAAGCGGUACCUGAAGAAUAAGCACCGGCUAACUACGUGCCAGCAGCCGCGGUAAUUC